rnacentral:rRNA from 1 species
GAUAAACGCUGGCGGCGCACAUAAGACAUGCAAGUCGAACGAACUCAACCUAUUCUUUAAGUUUAGGAGCGGUUAGUGGCGGACUGGUGAGUAAUGUGUAAGCAACCUGCCUAUCAGAGGGGAACAACAGUUAGAAAUGACUGCUAAUACCGCAUAUGCCAUAACUAUCGCAUGAUAGAAGUGGGAAAGGAGCAAUCCGCUGAUAGAUGGGCUUACAUCUGAUUAGCUAGUUGGUGGGGUAACGGCUCACCAAGGCAACGAUCAGUAGCCGGACUGAGAGGUUGACCGGCCACAUUGGGACUGAGAUACGGCCCAGACUCCUACGGGAGGCAGCAGUGGGGAAUAUUGGGCAAUGGACGCAAGUCUGACCCAGCAACGCCGCGUGAAGGAAGAAGGCCUUCGGGUUGUAAACUUCUUUUAGCAGGGACGAAGGACGUGACGGUACCUGCAGAAAAAGCAACGGCUAACUACGUG